rnacentral:rRNA from 1 species
UACGUAGGGUGCAAGCGUUUAAUCGGAAUUACUGGGCGUAAAGCGUGCGCAGGCGGUUUUGUAAGUCUGACGUGAAAUCCCCGGGCUCAACCUGGGAAUUGCGUUGGAGACUGCAAGGCUAGAAUCUGGCAGAGGGGGGGUAGAAUUCCACGUGUAGCAGUGAAAUGCGUAGAGAUGUGGAGGAACACCGAUGGCGAAAGGC